rnacentral:rRNA from 1 species
UGCAGUCGAGGGGUAGCGGGGAUGCUUGCACCGCCGACGACCGGCGCACGGGUGCGCAACGCGUAUGCAAUCUACCUCUUACUAGGGGAUAGCCCAGAGAAAUUUGGAUUAAUACCCUAUAUUAUAUUGAGUCGGCAUCGGUUUANUAUUAAAGGUUACGGUAAGAGAUGAGCAUGCGUCCCAUUAGUUAGUUGGUAAGGUAACGGCUUACCAAGACAUCNAUGGGUAGGGGUCCUGAGAGGGAGAUCCCCCACACUGGUACUGAGACACGGACCAGACUCCUACGGGAGGCAGCAGUGAGGAAUAUUGGACAAUGGGCGCAAGCCUGAUCCAGCCAUGCCGCGUGCAGGAAGACUGCCCUAUGGGUUGUAAACUGCUUUUAUACAGGAAGAAUAAGGAGUACGUGUACUCUGAUGACGGUACUGUAAGAAUAAGGACCGGCUAACUCCGUGCCAGCAGCCGCGGUAAUACGGAGGGUCCGAGCGUUAUCCGGAAUUAUUGGGUUUAAAGGGUCCGUAGGCGGGCUGUUAAGUCAGGGGUGAAAGUCUUCGGCUCAACCGAAGAAUUGCCUUUGAUACUGGCGGUCUUGAGUUAUGGUGAAGUGGCUAGAAUAUGUAGUGUAGCGGUGAAAUGCAUAGAUAUUACAUAGAAUACCGAUUGCGAAGGCAGGUCACUAACCAUUAACUGACGCUGAUGG